CCAUGAGUACAGUGGCGUACGGGUGAGUAACACGUGACUAACCUACCCUCGAGUGGGGAAUAACCUCGGGAAACCGGGGCUAAUACCGCAUAACAUCUACGGAUCAAAUGCGUAAGCAGCUUGAGGAGGGGGUCGCGGCCGAUUAGCUAGUUGGUGGGGUAAAGGCGUACCAAGGCACCGAUCGGUAGCUGGUCUGAGAGGAUGAUCAGCCACACUGGGACUGAGACACGGCCCAG
rnacentral:rRNA from 1 species